AUUGAACGCUGGCGGCAGGCUUAACACAUGCAAGUCGAGCGGAGAUGAGGUGCUUGCACCUUAUCUUAGCGGCGGACGGGUGAGUAAUGCUUAGGAAUCUGCCUAUUAGUGGGGGACAACAUUCCGAAAGGAAUGCUAAUACCGCAUACGCCCUACGGGGGAAAGCAGGGGAUCUUCGGACCUUGCGCGAAUAGAUGAGCCUAAGUCGGAUUAGCUAGUUGGUGGGGUAAAGGCCUACCAAGGCGACGAUCUGUAGCGGGUCUGAGAGGAUGAUCCGCCACACUGGGACUGAGACACGGCCCAGACUCCUACGGGAGGCAGCAGUGGGGAAUAUUGGACAAUGGGCGGAAGCCUGAUCCAGCCAUGCCGCGUGUGUGAAGAAGGCCUUUUGGUUGUAAAGCACUUUAAGCGAGGAGGAGGCUACCUGGAUUAAUACUCUAGGAUAGUGGACGUUACUCGCAGAAUAAGCACCGGCUAACUCUGUGCCAGCAGCCGCGGUAACAC
rnacentral:rRNA from 1 species